rnacentral:rRNA from 1 species
UACAGAGGGUGCGAGCGUUGUCCGGAAUCACUGGGCGUAAAGGGCGCGUAGGCGGUUUGUCGCGUCGGAUGUGAAAACCCAGGGCUCAACCCUGGGCCUGCAUUCGAUACGGGCAGACUAGAGUAUGGCAGGGGAGACUGGAAUUCCUGGUGUAGCGGUGAAAUGCGCAGAUAUCAGGAGGAACACCGGUGGCGAAGGCGGGUCUCUGGGCCAAAACUGACGCUGAGGAGCGAAAGCGUGGGGAGCGAACAGG